AUUUCACCAUGUAGGGACACAGCAUUCAUCCCAUUUGGAGGAAGCAGUGUUCAAGGCACCAUCCUGGAAGCAGAGACUGGGCCAUCACCAGGCACCAAACCAGCUGGCACCUUGGUCUUAGACUUCCCAACCCCCAGAACUGUUCCCAGUGCUACAAUGGGAUAUUUAUAAAGAUGGGGAACCAGCGGGGUGCCAUGGCUCACACUUGUAAUCCCAAAACUUUGGGAGGCCCAGAAUAUUGCUGCUGCCAACCACUGAUUUAGGAAUGUUUAGAGGUAUAUGCCAACUCAAUAAUCAAAAUCAUUUUGGUACUGGGAACCCAACCACAGUCUCUGUAGACCAGUGGAAUUUAUUGCUUGCUCCAGUUUAUUAAGUAAGAGUACCAACAGCAUUUUGAAUAAAAAAGAGUCUGAUAAGAUGUGA
ensembl:lncRNA novel transcript